CACUCACUCACACACACACAACCAGUCACAUAGUCACACACACACUGACAGACACACAUACUCACACACACACUGACAGACACACUCACUCACACACACACUGACAGACACACUCACUCACACACACACUGACAGACACACUCACUCACACACACACUGACAGACAUACUCACUCACACACACACACACAAACUCACAUAGUCACACACACACUGGCAGAC